rnacentral:lncRNA from 1 species
CUUGCUAGAUUUGAAUCCAUACUAGCAGUUCUUGAUGUGGCUUUAAUUGUGAGCGUUGAUCAGUGGCAGGUUCGCACGACGUUGGAGCUUUUCUGGACAUGCGUCUCUAGCUAUGGAAGAUGAAUGGGUUUCUUCAGCUGUUUCUACUUUGGCUUUUUCUUUUCUUUUUUAGUUCUGUUUUUUCUGUUGUUUUUCUUUGCUUCGUG